rnacentral:rRNA from 1 species
UUGCCGAGUAAAGUUCGUCGGGAAAAUCUACUGGCUUAACCCAGUAGGCGUCCCGGCGAAAACUGCUCGGCUUGGGACCGGGAGACCCAGAGGGGUACGUCCGGGGGUAGGGAGUGAAAUCCUGUAAUCCUGGGACGGACCACCGGUGGCGAAAAGCGCCUCUGGAGAACGGGAUCCGACAGUGAGGGACGAAAGCUAGGGUCUCGAACCGGAUUAGAUACCCGGGUAGUCCUAGCUGUAAACGAUGCUCGCUAGGUGUGGCGCAGGCUACGAGCCUGCGCUGUGCCGUAGGGAAGCCGUGAAGCGAGCCGCCUGGGAAGUACGUCUGCAAGGAUGAAACUUAAAGGAAUUGGCGGGGGAGCACUACAACCGGAGGAGCCUGCGGUUUAAUUGGACUCAACGCCGGACAUCUCACCAGCUCCGACAGCAGUAAUGACGAUCAGGUUGAUGACCUUAUUCGACGCUGCUGAGAGGAGGUGCAUGGCCGCCGUCAGCUCGUACCGUGAGGCGUCCUGUUAAGUCAGGCAACGAGCGAGACCCGCACCUCUAGUUGCCAGCAGCAUCUCGCGAUGGCUGGGUACACUAGGGGGACUGCCGCUGCCAAAGCGGAGGAAGGAACGGGCAACGGUAGGUCAGUAUGCCCCGAAUGAGCUGGGCAACGCGCGGGCUACAAUGGCCAGGACAAUGGGACGCCACCCCGAGAGGGGGCGCUAAUC